GUCAUUUUAGAGACGAAAGGAGUGUGUUUAUCUUUUGCUUUCACAUGGCGACAGUGGAGGUUCCAAUUUUCACUGUCGCCCCUCUCUGCUUCAUUUCCUGACUGGGGCUGAGGACUGGGAAUGCAUGGGGCUGAGGGCCUGCUGGGUUGAAUUAAGGACUGAGGAGCAGGGGAGCAGGGCAAGGGAGCUGUGUUCUUGAGGGGCUCUCGUGUGGCGGGGUGGUUGAUGCAGGCAGCUCCAACCCCCUCCCCAUCUCUUCUCAUUGACGGCCAUCUGGCAUACACAGUGAGACGCAUCCUGAGUGUUUGACCUCUGGGCAGGGGUAUCCACUACCUGGUUGACUCUGAGGGUUAUGGCCCGGAGGAGAGGUUCUGGGUCCUCACUAAGGACAUCCUGGACCCGGCCCUCAUCCCCGACGUUCACCACCGGCACCCUGGUACACCAGUCCCUGUGUUCUAGUCCUACCGGUUCUGACCUUUGCUGCCUGCCCUGACCCUGAGUCCACCUGCCGUACCAUUCUGCCUCCCCUGACCUCGAGCCUGCCUGCUGUCCUGUACCUAUCUGACUCUGACCCGGUUUAUGACCAUCUGCCUGUCCUCGACCUGCCUCUUGCCUGCCCCUUGUCUAUUAAUAAAUAUCAGAGACUCGAAUCAUC